rnacentral:rRNA from 1 species
GACAGAGGUGCCAAGCGUUAGGCGGAAUCACUGGGCUUAAAGCGUGUGUAGGCGGAUCGUUAAGUACCUUGUGAAAUCCCACGGCUUAACCGUGGAACGGCUUGGUAUACUGGCGAUCUUGAGCCACCUAGGGGCGAGCGGAACAAAUGGUGGAGCGGUGAAAUGCGUAGAUAUCAUUUGGAACGCCAACGGUGAAAACAGCUCGCUGGGGGUGUGCUGACGCUGAGACACGAAAGCCAGGGGAGCGAACGGG